CAGGAAUCAAUACCGUCUCCGCAUUUCCUUUGACGAUGCGGAUCAAUUCUUUGGCCUUCUCAUCUGUGGCGCUGGACAAUUCCAGAAUCUCGUUGACUUCCCUUUUGAUCUCCACCAGCUUCACUUCCCACGUUUGAGGUUUUAUAGAGAUUGGCAUGGGUGAUGAGUUGAAUCUUCUCAGCUCUUGAAUGCUUAUAGCCUGGAGUGCAACGGUGGUUUUCUUAAUAUGGUGAAUGUGCAAUAAACAAGAGCUCCGGAAAGGUGGUCAUUUACCCGGUCCCCAAGCGAUUCAUCAACCUGUUGACCGAUGGUAUGAAUCUCCUUUUCAAUGUCAGCAAUAAUGCGUUCCUACGGAGAUCAGUUCUUAACACAACUUAUUCAGCAAUAUGGAUAUGCACCAACAUUUGCGGUGAUUUUUUUGUACUGAAGAUGAUAUUGUCCUUAGUAACGAACACUGCAGUUUUUCUUAUCAAACGAGUAUGGACCAUGCUAAAACAGCGUACCCAGCAGAAAAACACUCACCAUGCAUGAGCUAAGGUGUACAGUGAGAAACUAUAAUGUGUUGUCACAUAGAUGGUUUGAAUCUCAUGCUGAUUCCCUAACAUGUCAAGUUUGCUUGCACCGUUAUUAUCCAAUUAUAGUUGUGCCAGUUACGGCUGAGCUUUUCAUA